GGUUAACAUACAGUGAGAAAUAAUGAAUGCAUUAAGCAGUGUUCGUUCAAUAUCAGUAGCCUUUGUUUUUCUGCUGAUAAUCAGCUUCACUUUCAUUGCACAGAUUACUCCAGUCAAUGCAGGUUGGUAUAUAUUCUCCUCAGACACAAAAUAUAUGAAUUGUUGUAACAGUUUAACAACAUUCCGUGAUCUUGCUUAAUUUGCAGAUCUGGUUAUGAGAAAAUUGGGUACUAUGAAAAGUCCACCUCCUCCACCCAUUGUUGGCAAGCCACCGAAACCUGCACUACCACCUCCUAAUAGUCAACCUCGUCAUCCUCCAUCCAUGCCCUAACUGUUCAUGAUCUUCGCAAGUUGCAAUACAUUACAAUAUAUUAUCACGAUGAGAGAUAUAAAUGAGUUCAAAUUGUAUGGAAUAAAUGAGAUUCUGAUGUUAUACAAGUAUGAAGCUAUAUUAUAGUUGAUAACAACUUAAAGGAAAGAAUAAAGAUUAUAUAAACUUCAAUUUUAAGAAUUUCUUAAAAUCUUAUUUUAUUAAUUUUGACUUUAGUAAUAAUUGGUUUGAUUUGGAUAAAGAUAAAAUAAAUAUAGAUAUGUUUGAUUUUAAGUUAGUUAAUAUUUUAUUUUUAAUUUUUAUUUAUUUGGAUGUGAAGAUUUAAUGAAAAAGUAUCUAAUUUAAAAAGUUAACUUAUUUGUGUAGAUUCACGUCCUUUUACAUUAUUUAUACCAAUAAUCCAUUUACAUUUUAGUAACUAUAACCAACGAUUCAUAGUUAAACAUCCUUAAUUUAGUAGUUUGGGAAUUAUGAACUUUUAAAGUUUUCUAAAAUAUUUGUGAAUGAUAAAAACAUUUUAAAAAUCCUAUAAUGCAUCCUAAAGGACUUGGUCUAACAUUCUUCUUUAUUCAGUUAGAAAACCUACAUCCUUCAAAUUUUAUCAAAAUAUGUAAAUGGAAUCUCUCUCUCUCUCUCUCUCUCUCUCUCUCUAUAUAUAUAUAUAUAUAUAUAUAUAUAUAUAUAUAUAUAAUUGGGGAUUAAAUUAUUCAUAUUACUUCUACAUAUAUUAAUUAUAUACUUAAAUUCAGAUAUUGAGAUCAUUUAAAAAUAUUUAUUUAUUAUUAAAUAAAAAUUACAAUUAUAAGUUGAGAGUAUAACAAUUGUUAACCAUGUAAGAUUCCAUUUUUCCUUAUAAAUAUAGUUUGUUAAACUUGUAUAUGCAAGAAAAUAUUAGUCUAUAGAAAUUAGUCAGAAUUCGUGAAUUUAUUCUAUAAAUAAAAGUUGCUUUGAUGGUUAGCCGACGUAUUUUUCUUAUUUUAUUCGGGUUUUCGAGUUGGGAGCAAAAGUAGGAUAUGAGAAUAUGUAAAUAAAGUUUUUCAUAAUAUGUUUUAAAAGGAAACAAAAAAUAAGUUUCUCCUUGAACGAAAAGUAAGUUAUUUUCAAGUUAUAAAAAAAUUGAAAAUGUCAAAGAACUAAAUGAAAAUGUUUUGUAAAUUAAUUUGUGUAUGAGUUAAUAAUGUAAUAAUUUAAGAAUACAAAACCAACAAUACCAUGUUUUACAAGUUUUUAAUAUUUAAAAUACACGUAAAAAUCAAACAUAUCGUAAUAUUUAAAUUUAAAUUUAAAUUUUAUCCAAUAAACAACAUUCUUUGAAAAUGUCAAGUUUUUCUUAAAAGAAAAUGAUAAAUAUUUUAUAUUUUUAUUUUUUGGGAAACCAAAUAAAAAUGAUAUUUAAAAGAAAAAAUAGCUGACACACUAUGUACUAAUUCAAUAUAAAUUAUUUUUUAGCUAUAAUUGUAAGAACACUAUAUGAAUUCACGGAUUUCAAGUUUAACUACAAGUCCAAUACGUUCCACAUAGAAUAAGAUUUUAAACAUAGCAUACAAGGUUCCUACGUCAUACUAAUUAAAGUGGUUUGUUAGUCCAGCAAUUUAGUUUUUGUUUUAUCAAAUAACAUAAAUUUCAAAUCAAGUUUGAUUUGGUUCAAUUUAUAAUUAAUUUAGAAUAUAUGAAUUAAAUCAAAUUAAUAUUUAUUACUAAAUUUUACUUUUUAUUUUUACAAUUUUGUUAUUAUAAAGUUAUUAAACAACUUUAUUAAAAAAAUUAAAAUAUUUAAUAAUGAAAAAUAUACUAUUUUCUUUUUUAUUAUAAUUGUUUAGAAUAAAAUCUUUCCCAAGAUCAAGAUGUCACAAUAAAUCAGAUUAUUUGUUAAAUAUUCUAGGCAUGGGUAUAACAUAUGUUAUAAUUUUCUUGCUCAAGUCUUCCAAAAUUUGAUUAGGAGGCUAAUCAAAUCCAAAAUUUAAUAAUAGAGAGUGAACUACCACUCUAUUUAACCAGAGAUUCAACACCAGUUGAAACUUGUUAAUCCUUUAUAACCUCUAGUCUCUCAUGAUCAGAACUGAAGAAGACUUGCUUCCAUUUUCCAUCAAAUUUUCUACGUGAAAUAAAUGCAUGCCUUAGGUUAAUUUCACUUUAGCCAUCUUGGAGAGGUUCGAUAUACACAUCCAGGUUUUUUCUUUUUUUCUUUUUUUUAUCAGUCCCUUUGAGAAUCCGAGACUUAGUCAGACAGUGCCUUGUCAAUUACUGGGUCUUUGAAUUCUUUUUAAUAAUAUAUUUUUUAGUCAAAUGAUUCGAAAUUUUGUAGGCAUUACCACUUAAUUUCCUAUCUUGCAGUUUCUUUUUCAGUCUAAUGAUAAUUCAAAUUUAUGAUCCCUUUGAAAACUUGGUUUCACAAUUUAGGUAACUUUUUUGAGGAAUUUCACAAAAAAUUGCGAAAUAAACUGUAUAACAAAAAGAGAAAACCUCAAGUUCGUCAUUGUUACUGCAAUUUAUUAGUAUCAGAAAUCCAAUUACUCUUUCUCAGUUCUUAUAUAUUUUCCAUGAAGCCUUGUUCAAUUUAAAAAUACAAUUGCUAAUAAGGUAAUCAAGCUUGUAUUGUUACAUAAAAAAGUCUACAACAUUAGUUAACAAAAAAGUGUAAUUGUAAAAGAGCCAUUGGAAUGGCCUGGAAAAAUCAGGAACAAUUUCAUCAUUGGACCAUUUCCAAAGCAAAUAUAUUUAAAACUAUCAUGUUAAAUAUUUAUUGAAUGAGGAACCAAAAGUCAAAUAAAAAGAGUUUCUUUAUUCUGUUUUCUUCCAGCAAAUUCCAAUGACUUGACAAUUAUUAAUUUGAGUUAUAUUUUAUCACUCAAAGUCAAACACAUGAUUCAUUCUCUUGUAUAAAGAAAUGAAGAAAAUUGAUUCCAUUGGUUCUAUGGGAACUAUAAAUUUGGUGACUAUGAAGCAGUCUGGUGUAUGAAUUUGGUUUUAGGUUAACAUACAGUGAGAAAUAAUGUAUGUAUUAAGGAGUGUUUGUUCAAUAUCAGGAGCCUUUGUUUUUCUGCUGAUAAUCAGCUUCACCUUCAUUGCACAGAUUCCUCCAGUCAAUGCAGGUUGGUAUAUAUUUUUCCUCACACACAGAAUAUAUAAAUUGUUGUGACAGUUUAACAACAUUCCGUGAUCUUGCUUAAUCUGCAGAUCUGGUAAUGAGAAAAUUGGGUCCUAUGGCAAGUCCACCGCCUCCACCCAUUGUUGGCACGCCACGGAAGCCUCUACCACCUCGUAAUAGUCAACCUCGUCAUCCUCCAUCCAUACCCUAAGGGUUCAUGAUCUUCGCAAGUUGCAAUAUAUUACAAUAUAUUAUCACGAUGAGAGAUAUAAAUGAGUUCAAAUAGUAUGAAAUAAAUGAGAUUCUGAGGUUAUGCAAGUAUGCAACUGUGUAGUUGACAGCAGCUUAAAGGAACAAUUAAGGAUUUAUCUAUACCAAUAAUCCAUUUUCUUUUUAGUAACUAUAACGAACGAUUCAUAGUUCA
rnacentral:lncRNA from 1 species